rnacentral:rRNA from 1 species
UACGGAGGGUGCAAGCGUUAUCCGGAUUUACUGGGCUUAAAGGGUGCGUAGGUGGCUCUGUAAGUCAGUGGUGAAAUCUCCGGGCUUAACCCGGAAACUGCCAUUGAUACUAUAGAUCUUGAAUACCCUGGAGGUGAGCGGAAUAUGUCAUGUAGCGGUGAAAUGCUUAGAUAUGACAUAGAACACCAAUUGCGAAGGCAGCUCACUACGGGAUUAUUGACACUGAGGCACGAAAGCGUGGGGAUCAAACAGG